rnacentral:rRNA from 1 species
CGUAGGGGGCAAGCGUUGUCCGGAUUUAUUGGGCGUAAAGCGCUCGCAGGUGGUUCGUCGCGUCGUGCGUGAAAGACCAUGGCUCAACUGUGGGGUGUCGUGCGAUACGGGCGGACUGGAGGCCAGUAGGGGGAUGCGGAAUUCCGGGUGUAGUGGUGGAAUGCGUAGAGAUCCGGAGGAACACCAGCGGCGAAGGCGGCAUCCUGGACUGGUCCUGACACUCAUGAGCGAAAGCGUGGGGAGCGAUCCGGAUUAGAUACCCGGGUAGUCCACGCUGUAAACGAUGCGCACUAGGUGUCGGGGGUAUCGACCCCCCCGGUGCCGCAGCUAACGCGAUAAGUGCGCCGCCUGGGGACUACGGCCGCAAGGCUA